AGCUGUUUGAAUGUCUGCUCGUUUUAGUUUGCAUUGUUCGAUAGCGCCUACCUGAUGGAAGGAGCUGGUAACCAGCAUGUGGAGGGUCCAAGAGGAUUUUGCAUGCCCUUAGUUCUGGCAGCAUGCAAGUCCUCAAGGGUGGGUAGGGGGGUACUGACAAUUUUUUUCUGAAGUUUUGAUUGUCCGUUGCAGUCCUGUGGCAGCACCAAACCAGACUGUGAUGGAUGAACACAGAAUUGAUUCGAUGACUGCUGUGUCGAACUGCCUUUACAGCUCCUGUGGCAGGAGCUUCCUCCAAAGCUGCAUAAAGUACAUCCUCUGCUGGGCCUUUUUGAGGAUUCAAAUUCAUAUUUGCUGAUGACACAAACAUUUUGCGCAGCACUACUGGCAAAAUAUUCUGUGGACAGAUGAAACCGAAGUGCAAUUGUUUGGGGAGGAAGAAAAUACAUGUUCUGGAGUGGCCUUGUCCAAGUCCUGACCUACACCUGAUUGAGAUGCCCUCCAGAGAGCUAUUCACACCAGACAUAUCAGGAAUCUUGCUGAACUGCAAGUUUUGUAAAGAGGAAUGGUCCAAAAUUCAUCCUGAUCGCCGUGCAUGUCUGCUCUGCAACUAGAGGAAACAUUUGGUUGAGGUUAUUCCUGCGAAAGGAGGGUCAACCACUUAUUUUAUCCAUGUCCUGUGAAUGCUUACGUUAUUCUCUAUUAAAAUAUGAUCAAAUAUAA